rnacentral:rRNA from 1 species
GAUGAACGCUGGCGGCGUGCCUAAUACAUGCAAGUCGAGCGAAAAGACGAGGAGCUUGCUCCUCUGACGUUAGCAGCGGACGGGUGAGUAACACGUGGAUAACCUACCUAUAAGACUGGGAUAACUUCGAGAAACCGGAGCUAAUACCGGAUACUAUAUUGAACCGCAUGGUUCAAUAGUGAAAGACGGUUUUGCUGUGACUUCUAGAUGGAUCCGCGCCGGAUUGGCGAGUUGGUAAGGUAACGGCUUACCAAGGCAACGAUGCGUAGCCGACCCGAGAGGGUGAACGGCCACACUGGGAGUGAGAGACGGCACAGACUCCGACGGGAGGCAGCAGCAGGGACUCUUGCGAAAUGGGCGGAAACCUGACGGAGCAGCGCCGGGCGGGUGCUGAAGGUCUUCGGAUCGUAAAACGCUGUUAUUGGUGAAGAACAAAUGCGUAAGGAACGAUGCACGUCUUGACGGUACCUAAUCAGAAAGCCACGGCUAACUACGUG